GGCAACUUCACGUCAAAAUAUUGUAUUAUAGAUUUCUUAUGAUAACAUUCACAUAUAGACAUAACGGAAUGCACCUUCUACGUCACGAACCGUCCAGAUAAGUUUCAAACGUUUCGUUGACAUGCUAACUCUUCUUUUAGUCUGAGUAUUAUAACGACAGAUGGUCCAGAAUAAAAAAUCCAUACGCAACCAACCCAAGAAUCUCUUGACGUAAAGAGUGAAUUGGCCGUAAGAUUUACGUGACGUUGCCGGUCCGUGACGUGUUUUUAAUUCACAAAGUUAUGCUGCACAGUAUCGGAGAGACAUGGUUAAAUCGCACUACUAAAAUAAAUCUCAAGGGAAUGUAUAUAAUGGAUAAGAUGCGAAGAUUAAAAGUGAUAAAGCUGAAAAUAGUAAAAUUAACGCUGCUUCCUGGUACUGGCCGCGUUAACUUACCCUGCGGGCGACUCGGCGUUUGGAUGUAACUGCAUGGUUAAGUCGCCAAGCUUGUUAAAGGCAGCUCCCGCUGCAGUAAAAAUUUCUCCCACCUAUCACCCCAAAACACACAAAUGUAAACAUAACCUGAAUUGGUCCAAAGAAACAUAUUAAAAUAAAAUAAUAAA